UACUGACACCGGUUGCUCAACAGGCUGUGUGGGACAAUAGAAUAACAAGGCUGUCAAUUUGAGCUUGACGGCUGCAAACCGAAUGGAGUGAAAUCCCUUUUGGAGUGCAGUCUGAUUUGUUAUGCCAUUUUGCAGCCG
rnacentral:ncRNA from 1 species